UCCGGUUUUGGGACAGCUGUGGUCCUCAGAAACAAACAGCUAAACAUGUCUUCAUUUACAGAUAGCAACUUCGUAAAGAAAUUAAGCGAACUGAACAACACACAGCAGAGUAUUCAGACGUUAUCAUUAUGGCUGAUUCACCACAGAAAGCAUUCAAAACCAUCACCCAAGUAUGGCUGAGAGAAUUGCAAAAAGGUCAGUAUACCUGUCUACAAAUCAUAUACACAGAACAGCACGUGUAAUGUGUCUAAAAUGUCAAAAUUGUAUAUCUCUGAUGAAGAGAAAACUUACAACAUUAAGUUGACAUUCUGCAAUGCUAGCUAGUAACUGCCAUUGUCUGUAAAGAUGCAAUUGCAAGCCACAAAAGAAGUUUUUGUCUUCAGAACAGGUUAGGACCAGCUACCUGAAUGAGUUAAACAUACAUGUACCAUAAUAUAACUGGUCGGGAAACAUAUCAAAUAGUAAAUAAGGAUAUGAAUAUUAUUGAUUCUAAUGCAACAACGUUUGUAACGUUCAUUUUGAUAACGUCACUUAUUUACAUGGCAUCAAUUAUGGAGCUUAAAAUACAAUAGAGUUAUCUCCUAAAUGUUAAGAGAUUUAAAUUUUAUGAAUUAUGUGCAUGAUGUGACGCAGGAUUGCAGAUAUUUUGUACAGUUGUAAGCAUGACACAUGAAAGUAAAAUUAUUUUGCCGUGAAAAUUGGAAAUGAAAUCUAGCGGGACACGGGAAAUCACAAAAAAUGAUAAUUGCUUACAACAGGCUAUUAUUUGAACUUGGAAGUAUUUUUGCUUGAUUUCUUGUUAUUGAAAUUUUCGAUAAAUUCCAUGUUUAUUCUGUACUGAAAUGUUCUGUGCUGCGCACAACACUUUCUAUUACAAAGAAAAUAGUAUAUUUUCAAUAGAAUGUACUGUGCCGCGCACAACACUAUCUAACCAAAAUAUAUUGUAUGGAAAGUGUUAUUAACCGCUCAAAAGAUUAUUAUACCAAAUAAACAUGGAAUUUAUUAAAAAUUUUAAACACAAGAAAUUAUGCAAAUUCCAUAAUUAAAAAUAAUUCCAAGUUCAAAUAAUAGCCUGUUUUAUGUACAUAGCGCAAGAGGGAUACAGGAAUCUGAUAAAACAAUAAGGGGGAUCUGGGAUUAGAACCCCCCAAUGAGAGUAAGCACAUGAUUACUUUUCAUAUAUGUAACUAUUCUUGCAUACUCUGACACCCAACGGUUGUUUUGCCAGACAAUGUGUGGCCAUGGGACAUUAGAGCUUGUCCCAUAAUGGCAUAUUAUAAAGUGGAUAUUUACCGGUCCAAAACCAAUGCCUUGCUUUGUUGCUCCUGGAGCCGACUGAGGGUGUUAAUUUUUCAUUUAUCUCUUCAUUUGUUAAGUUUCAUCUAUCUGCCCUCUUUACAGGGUUCUCACUAAGGCGAGUCCAUGAGUUCUGGACUCAUCAAAAUCUGUCUGGACUCACCAUUUUCAAAACUGGUGAGUCCACAGAUGCAUCAAGAUUGAAAUAUUUUGUAUAAACUGAACACAGUUAAACACAAAUAUCAUUUUACAGUAAAAGUUUAAAAGUGAUCUGAAUUUGAUUUGAUUUCAUUGCUAUGUUAGGAAAUGGAGCCUAAAAUAUUACUUUACAUUGCAAUACAAUAUUUUCUUCUUGCUGAUGGACUCAUCAUACCUAAAAAUGAUGAGUCCCUGGACUCGCCUUCAAAAAUCCUUAGCGAGAACCCUGCCUUUAUUUUCUUAUAUUUGGACAGUUUUCACAUUUGAAUAGCUUUACAUUUGUCAUUUCAGGCCAUUUAACAUGUUGUAAAGCUGAGAAAUGGGAAUGGGCUUUGCUCAUAAUUGUCUUAUAAGGCCACACAGUGACCUAUUGCUGUUAAUUUCUGUGCCAUUUGGUCUCUUGUGGAUAUUUUCUCAUUGACAUUCAUACCACAUCUUAUUUUUAUAUAUACAUACAAAUGUACAAUGUACAUGUAUAUAAAUAUAUGUUUCUAUAAUUCUUAUCUGAUUCAUCCUUUUUUUAACCAGUUUAAUGAUUAUAUCUUUUUACAGAUUUUGGUCUCAAUUUUUUUUCAAUCUACAAAUUUCCUAUUGUGACGUCUUAGAAGAGACAACAAUUCCUGUUGACAUCACAUAGAAAUAAAAAAAAAUUUGUAGAUCUUUGAAAUGCAGGAUUGAGUGUCUGCAUAUUGUCUAAAAAUAAUUAGAGAAACAAAUUCUUCUACAUGUACAUGAAUAUUGAUAUGAUCUACAUGUAUGAUAUCAAGUUAAACAUUGUUGAAGUGGUUUCUACAUGUAUCUUAUCUGAAAGCUAGUAAGACAAGUCAUAUUUGCUCUAAACAUGCUAAAGACUACUUGUAAUAACAAAAUGUUAUUGACCACAGACCUUUUUUUUUUAUUGUAUGCUGCAUGCAAAUGAACGAUUGAUGUACAUUGUAUGUAUUAACCUUGCAUGUAUAUAAACUAUUUAAAGAAUAGAUUAUUAUUUCCUUUAUUGUUUUCAGUUCGUCCGUCAAUGAGACUGAUAUAUAUGUACCUAGCUAACGAUGUUAUACAGAACAGUAAGAAGAAAGGACCUGAAUUUACCAGAGACUUUGCUACUGUAAUGACGGAUGCAUUUGCUUCGGCUACAAAGUAAAUAUAAACCUGAGAUAUUGCAAAAAGUUGUUAUACUAAUAUGUAUCUUUUAAUAUAUUUUAAGUACAUUCUAUAGAUAUAAUAAGAUGUGGCAAUGAGAUAACUCUCCAUCCAAGUCACAAUUUGUGAUUUCAAAUCAACCAUUAUAGGUCAAAAUGCAGUCUUCAACAUGGAGCCUUGGCUCACACCAAAAAGUACGCUAAAUGGGAAAACCAAGUCUGAAUGGCCUAUAUCUUUACUCGAUUGUACUGAUUUUUACUUGAACAGUCUGCAUUGGUCUGACUUUUACUUGACAUUACUUGACCCCAGCAUUUGCCCAGUCUGAACCAUACUAGACUGUACUGAAUCAUACAACAAACUACAAAAUAAUUGAGGGUACACUUUGAUUAUAUAAUUUGUGUGCAUGUGUUGAAAGAACACACAUUAUAUUAUUCAAAAUAAUUAUCCUGUAUAUAUGCAAUCGUUCUGAAAAAAAAAGAGAGUUAGUAAAUAAUUUUAUUGGGUUUAUAUUGUAGAGACGCUGAGGAAAAGGUGAAGAAAUCAGUGGAUAGAAUAUUAAAUAUAUGGCAGGAAAGAGGUGUUUACAGUAAAAACACAAUAGAUAAAAUAAAAAGUGGCACAGGUGAGUGUAAACAAAUGGGUCAUACUUAGAUGCAACAAACCCAGGCAUAGAAGUUUCCUACAUGUGUACCACCAUCUUUGACUUUGUCUGCCAUCUAAGAUAAAUAAAAUGUUUUCAACUAAUUUUCGGGGAUCACACAUGUAUAUGUCACAACAAAAUAUGUUUGCAACAAUAGGUCAAUUGGCACAGGUAUUUUUUGGUUUAUACUUGGAGACUUAAAGCAUAAAACAUUAUUAUUCUUUUCAUUCUUUAUUUAAGCAGAUUCAUCAUUUGAUUGAAUUGAAAUCAAAUUAGAGGUUCAAUUAGGAUAUAGAUGAUUGAAAGUUACAUUUUAUCCUCUAGGAAACCUUAUAAAAUGAUUAUGUUUUUUGUUUGGCACAAAACUUAUGUUUCAUUAUUUGUUUUAAAUAGAUAUUGUUUGUAGACGAAGAAAAUAUAUAUCACUCUCUUAAGAGUAUAAGCUUUAUUACAUAUUUAAUUUUCAGGAAACCAAAUUAUUCACAAAAGUGGUGAGUACGCUAUCAAUUUCACUCUUUGCUUGUCUGGAACUCUGUAUGUACAUUUUGUACCAUCAUCCAUAUUGUAUGUGUUUGAAGUCUUAAAAUAAUUGUUUCAGUGUUUUGUAUUCAAAGAGCACUCUACUAAAUACCUUGCAGUUAAUAUGGUAGCCAUUUAGGGAAAUAGGAACAUUGGAAAUUUCAAAAUUAUUCAGAUUAAAGAAUUAAUUUAAGGUAGAUAGAUGGUAUACCGCCAUCUUCGAUUGAACAAUCACAGUAAAAAAUCGGUCUAGUUAUUUGCCUAAAUUUGCAAAUUUAGAGACAAAUUUGCAAUUUAAAGGUUCGAUUUUUUUAUAAUAUAAAGAAAACUUGGUAAUAUAGUGUAUAAUAUAAAAUAUUUAAACAAACAUCAUUUUUUUGGCUUUUAGAAUCAUUUUUUUCAAAUGAGCCAUUUAAGGGAAGAUAACUAUUUUAGUCAAAAAUUUAUACUGGACUGAUAGGGAAAUUUUUUCUUUUUACUUGUAACAAGAAAACAAGUUCGGUGACACCAUUUUUUCUUUUUAUUUUCUUAAAAUGUAUCACAAAACCUAUCUUUUCACAAUUUAUUUCAAAAUUCUAUGUCAUAGAUUUUUCUAUGAACAUUCUAACCAAAUUUAGGCAAUUUUCAACGACUCAUAGCUUGAAAAAUAGCAUGGUGACCCAAACUUUUUUUUUCAUUUUUGAAAAAAGCAUAGUAAAAUCUUCAUUUUGGCUAAGUAUAAGAAAAUUCUGUCUCAAAAAUAUUUUACUUAUGAUCUACCUUAAGGGCAUACGAUACAGUUACAGGGAAUGUAAUGACGUUGCUAACGUAAAAUGUUAUUUUUGCGACGUCAAACUCUGACAUAUCGGGAAAAGAUGCAUUUUCGACUGAUUUUUAUCAUUCAAACUGAUUUAAUUUGAAAACGAGUGCAUGGACCCCUAUUUUUUAAAACAGCAAUUUGUUUCAUUUUGCAAGGAGAUUAUGUGACCCAAAUUUUAUAAAACUGUAAAUAGCGCAAUUUUUUUUAUUUUGAUAAGCAUGCAGCAAAAAAUGACGUUUUUUACUCUAUUCAUGAACAUUUGAUAAAUAGAGAGUUAUUUCGGAAUAAAAAGUGCAUAAUUUUUAAUGAUACUUAUAAAAUACAGAAAUUACCGAUUAUUUAACAAAAACCAUUUUGUGUUUAUCUUUUAAAACAAAAAAGUUAUGUCUUUCUUUCGAAAAAGAAAAUACAGCCACAAAUCUGAAUUUUGAGCAAAUAUACAAAAUUUCGAACUCAUUUUACUUAAAAAGUAGCACAUGAAGGUAUAUUUUUUAUUACAUAUUUGAUUUAAUGAGGUAAAAAAUAGCCUAUAUGCAAAUUUUCAUCAACUUGUAAAUACAGGUUCAAUACUGUAUCGUAUGCCCUUAAUGUCACUUCAAAACAUUUUUUUUUUGAGAUUGACUUUUUUGGGGAAAAUCUCAAUAAGAUCAAUUGUCUGCAAGAAUGUAAAUUAACUGUUGAGUGUUCUUUAAGGUAAGUAAUAAAUAGAAGUGGUAUUUGGUUGCCUUGGCAAACAGAUUUCUGGUGUUGGACUGUAUUUCUCAAAUUUGCAUACUAUUGCUAAUCAAACAUAAAAAAUCUCUUAUUUCUAAAGAAUAUUGCUUUGAAAAUGUUAUUAAUUAUUUAUAUUUAAUUUUAUGAUAAAUUUGAAUGUUUAUUUGUUUUAUUACCAUAGUCAGAUAAAAAGUUAAUAAAUAAAAAAAUACAUUGUCAUGAGAUUUUUAAAACCUGAAAAAAUCUUAAUUUGAGCCUUAAAUUUUGAGGACUGAAUUUGAGAAAUACAGAUACUGUGUGGUGUUUGCACUUACAUGCUUGCUUGCAAUUGAUGUAUGUUGUGGUGUGUCUUUCUAUUGUAGCCCUUCAAGACAUUACAGAGAGAAGGAAGAAAAAGAUUGAAGAAUAUAUACCGACCUAUAAAAAAGGUGAAAUUUGUGUAGUGUGUUGAGAGGUGCAAGGGGGAGGGAACCUGAUAUUACUUAUAAGUCAUUUUCAUCUUAAAUAACAUCAAAAUCAUUCAUUUUAAAUAUUAUAUGUUGCCAGGUCAGUUUAAGAUACUUUCAGAAGAUUUCUAGAACAAAUGUUUUAUUUUUACAGCCAUAUCAGAUAUAGCAGCUGAAAUAAACUUAAAAAGAGGAAGAGACAAGAAAAAAGUAGAGGAAUAUGUACCUGUCAAUAAGGUCAAAGGUUAGUAUAGAAAAGAGUACAGGAAUAUGUACCUGUCAAUAAGGUCAAAUGUUAGUAUAGAAAAAAGUACAGGAAUAUGUACGGUACCUGUCAAUAAGGUCAAAGGUUAGUGCUAUCAAAGGUCACUCUGUUGAUGAUUUUGUUUGAUUCAUGCUUUGUAAAACUCAUUAAACUUGAAACUUCUCAGAAUUUAGACAUUUAUUGUUGUAUUGCUAAAAAAAACUUGGUGUUUUUCCUUGGCAUAUUUAGAACAAUGUAAAGCUACUAUGAACACAACACUCAAGGGAAUUUAAUUAGACACAUGUUUGUUUGUAGGGUAUUGUCUUCAGGAUAAAAAGUAAUAAAGUAACAAAAUCAGUACAAAUCUGUUCAAUAAGAUGCACUUCAAAAUAGGCACCAGGGGAAGUAACUUACUUAACAUCAUUCAAUAUGAAUAAUUCUAGCAUUCUAUGGGAAAAUCACAGGUUUUUUGUACUAUCAUAAAAUUUAGAUUUUUCACUAUCUGUGCUUUUAUUAAAGAUCAGUUGGAAGCUACUUUCAUGGAUAUGAGCGAGCCAUAAAUUUAGAUUUUCAAAAGAAUUAUAACUUCUAAUUAAUAUGUAGAAAAAUUGGUGCCCACCAAAAUAAAUGAAUCUACAGUAUUAAUGCCAUUAAGUAAUCUAAGAACAUGAUACAUUGUCAUUAAUUUUUAUUAGAAAGGUAGAUAUGUAUAAUAAAGAUUAAGCUAUACUUUGGAUUUUUUUUAGGAUUUUGACAUUUUCCUGAAAUCAAAAGCAAAUGCUCGCAGUCUGAUUUUGAAAGUGGUUUAUGACAAAUUCGCAUUUGUUCUCAAUGUCCAUAGGUUAAAAAAAAAUUAAACAAACUAAAAUAAAUUCCAACUACACACCUAUAUUUCUCAAGCAGGAAACAGUAAACAUACAUUUUCUGUUUGUCCUUGUGUAGUUUAUCAUAUAUACUGGUGCCAUAUUUUGAGAAUGUCACAAGGAAUUUAGCCUUUUUAAGUGAAGUUAAAUUAUAUUUUAUAAGACCCACAGCCAGUUGAUGCAGCGCCUCCUAAUAAGAAAAAGAAGAAAGAAGAAAUGUUGUCACUGAGAGAAGAAAUAGAGCUUAUGUCAAAAGAUGAUACAAGUGGCCCACCAGAUGUAAGAUCUUACUUUACACACAUUUGGUACCUCCCUCUCAAUAUUUACAAGUAUUUUCAAUUCUUGAAUCAAAAGUUUGGUAUUCUCUUUGAAUGAUCAAGUCUAUACUUUUGACUGUUUGUAAACUUGAUGCUUCUAAAAUUUCUUUAAAAAAAUGAUAUUUAAAGGAAUCCAACUUCAAAGUUGCAUAUUCGUAUUUGAUGCCUAACAUUUUUUGAAUAGCUCUUGAUAAAAUUGUAAAUAAAAUGACUGGUUACAAAAAUCAUGUAAUGUUUCAGAUUUUUCUAAACAUAUCUUUAAGAAUAAGAUAAUUGUUGUAACCCCAAAACAGCCAAGUUUGAACCAUUGUGCAAAAUGAAACAUAAGGUAUAUAUAAAAAAGAAGAUGUAUUAUGAUUGCCAAUGAGACAACUCUCCACAAGAGACUAAAAUAACACAAAUUAACAACUAUAGGUCACCGUAUGGCCUUCAACAUUGAGCAAAGUUCAUACAGCAUAGUCAGCAAUAAAAGGCCCAGAAAUGAUGAUGUAAAACAAUUCAAACGAGAAAACUAAUGGCCUAUAUAUGUACUUAUAAAAUAACAACACUAUAGCAUUGAGAGUACAAAAAAUUACAGCAAAGAAUACAAAAAAAACCAUUGAAUUUGUCAAUUUUGUACUCUUGGUACAAUAAUCAUGAUAAUCUCUGUGAAUUAGUGUUUUAAAAAGGAUACUUGAUACACAUACAUUGUGUAGUUCACAUUUAUGUCAUAUAUAUUUGCUGAGCCAAAUUUUUACCAGUUUUCAUUGUUUUGUAUUUACAGGCAGAAGAAUUAGUAAAACGUUUAUCCGACCUUGAACAUUCAGCAUCUAGUGAUGCUGCUGUAAGAGAGAAGAUUGCUGCUCUUCCACCGGAAGUGUCUGAUGUUAACCACCUCGCCAAAAUUCAUGGUAAAAAUUCAUUCACUGUGGAUCCAUUUAUUUUUUGUUGGUACCAAUUUUCCUUGAUAUUUUAUUUCAUGGUUUUGCAAAAGUCUGCAUACAAGCCUUUACCUGUAUAAAAGUUGUUCUUCCUUGAACAUUUGGUUCACCAUUACGAAAGAAAUCCAGGAAAUCUAGUGUCACACGAAUAAUGAAUAUUAAAUGGACCCCAUUUUUUAAGGGCUUAUUUCUUAAAGUCUGAGCAAAAUUGAUGAAUUACCUAGCUACCUUCGAAAUUUUAAAAAGUGUUUCAGUGUUUUCCCCAAUAUUCUUGGAUAGCAUCAUAGAUAGUAUGACAACAAGUAAGGUAUAUAACAUAAUUUGCAACUUAUCAUGACUUAUUUCCUCUAGCCUGUCUCCUUAUGGACAACAAUUAUAUAGUUUCUUUAUUUAUAUAACUUUGAAUUAUUUGAUGAAUACAGUGUUCUUGUGAUCUUGCUGUAACUGGAUAAUAAAUAGGAAUGCAUAUUUUAAAGUGUAUGUAGAAAAGCACAGGGUCCUACCUUCAAAUUCACAGUUGACAUUUUCGUAACUAAGGAGCUUCAGAUAGCACCCAUGUUGACUUGCUGAAAUCAGUAAAAGUGCAAGGAAUGAAGUAGAAUAAAAAAUAAGACACCACUUACCUCAAAACUUUAUUUAAAUGCAAUAUUAUCCAAACUUGACAGGUUCACCUAACCGAAAAGUGUUUUUCAUUUUUCUGACAUAAUGUUUUGUAAUUACUUCCAUGUAAUACUGUGGAUUUAUUAUUAUUAUUCGUUUGAUACCAAUUUUCGUGGAUUUUGUGAUUGCAAAUAAACCAUAAAUAAAAAAUGUUCAACGAAGAAAUAGUUUUCUAUAGUCUUGUAUGCAGACCAUAUUAAAACAACGAAAUCAAAUAUCCACAAAAAUACAAAGUUUCUUCAAUCCACAAAAAUUGGUACCCACGAACUAAAUGAAUCUAGGAAAUUGCAUUAAUUAAAUUUCACUGGAUUUUGUUUUAUUUUGUACAUUUUCCCAAGUUCUAAUGCAUUAAUUAUAUUUUGUUAUGUUAUGUUAUUAAUAAUAAUUUAGAGCUAUUAAAAUUGCAUGUCAUAUAUGCAAUUAUUUAAUUUUGACUUUAGUUAGCUAGUUGAUAAUUAUCUCCUCCAAAAAUUUCAAAUUUGCUUGAUACUGAUGAUACCUGUGGAUAUUCCCACCCUGAAGAUCAUUACCAACCAAAUUUUUUUAUGAUAUUGGGGUGAACAAUCUUUUCUAUAUUGUACAGGUUUGAAAUCAAAAGAAAUAAUGAAGAUAUUGUCUCUCAUUUACAAUGCAUGCAGAGUUUUAUUUUUUUAAAGAAAACAAUCCAUUUUUAAUUUGGUAAGCAUUUUUUUACUCAUAAAUAUUUUUAUGAAUAACAAUAAGUUUUUUAGCACUAAAAUUAAAAACACUAGGCAAAGAUAAGGGGAGUAACUCUUUCUGAAUUUAACACGAUUUUGUUUGGCCUAUUUAAAAUAUUCAUUCCUUUGGAAGAUUGAUUGAUUGUUUGUUGCUUAACGUCCAGUGGCAAUCCUUUGGAAGAAAGACAGAAUCUGUUCAAUAGUACUAUGUAUUAUAUCUAGACUGUGACUGUCCAAAUUAAUUGUGGCAGAUGUAUCUAACAAACUGGAAGAAAAUCAACAGUCAAAAAACAAUAUGUUUAGUUGUAAAGAGAAAGAAGACUAAAUAAAAGAGACAGAUUUUCAUGUCUUACUUUAACAACAAGCUUCAAACAGAAUAAAAAUGUUCACAAUUGUCAAAUAUUAUUAAUUAAUGGGCCAGAAAUAUAGGAUGAUGCUCCAAAUUUAUAGAACUUCAGGUCUGUGAUGCUUAGGAGACCACUGUCAUUUCUUUUGGAUUUUUUAAAACUACUAGUAUGUAAUGAAACAAGCUAAUUAAUUCCCUAUGAAAUGAAUAAGAUGGGAUUUGUUGCAUUUUUGAGCUAGGAUGAUAAGUAUAUAAAAAUUGAUUGAUUAUAAUUUAUUCAUCUUUCAAUUAUUCUUGAGUAAAAAUGAAAACUACAAAUUGUCAAAUGUUUAAAAUACAAGAUGCCUUUCUUAAAUAAUAAAUUUUUAUUUCAGUAAGUAAUGUUCAACAUCAUAUUUAAUUCACUAGUCCCAACAUGCAACAUGCAUCGUUCUUUAUUUGUUUCCUUUAUCUCCAUAAUAUUUUUUCAAAUUUCUUAUCAUCUGAAACCACAGUACAAACUACAACCAACUCAGGAUUAAUAAGCCAGAAUAUAUAUAGUUGAAAUUUGUUAACUCUCCCUGGCAAUUUACCAAUUACGACCUAUUGACCUUUUAUUAUUAUUUUUGGGGUUUCCCUUAACAAGACAUGGAAAAUGUCAUAUACACAAAUUCUGGUAGGAAUCUUGUUUCAUUAGGGUAAUAUUCAAAUCAUCAAUGUCAAUGUCCUAUCAAAGGUUGGUGGUUCUGGGCACUCCGGCUUCUCCACCUAUAAAAACUGACUGCCAUGAAAUACUAUAGCCCGAAUGUGGCACUUAAAAGUGGCACUUAAAAGUGGCAUUACAAACCAACAAACCAUCAAUCAAUGUCACUUAAAUUAUAAUUCUACCUUCCCUUUUGUUUUCAACGAUGUAGUAGGAAACACAGCUAUUAUUUUAUUUGGCCUCAAUCAAAUUGUUUAAUUUUCUGAUGUUAACAUGAUGUGGUCAUUACAUGCUUUGGUCUGUUCAUACUGUUGUUCUGCCUUAUACAAAUUAUUUAUAACUGUCAUGAUUAACAAAGUUUGAUGUGUCUAUUUCAGAUAAAGAAUCUGGUGUGAUAUUGUCAAGAAAAGUAGAAGAUGCUUGUAUAUUGUUGUCUGAAUAUAACUUUCGAUUGAAUGCAGAGUUAGAAGAAAGAAAAAUGGUCGGGAAAAUGUUAAAAGAUUUCAUAGCUUGCCAAAAAGAACAAUUAAUGUCUGCAGAGAAAAAAAUAGAGGUAAAUGUUUUGGAUUUGUAAAUAAUUUUUUAUGAAAUUUUACUUGUAGGAGCACUAAAAUAUUUAUGAUUUGUUAAAAAUAUUGUUAUCUCCCCUUCCUCAGUUCCCUCAGCUGAACCAUAACUAAUACUAUAGUGAAAUAAAUUGUUAGUUUUCUUUAUUUUUGCAAAACAGAUUGAUUCCAUUGUCAGUAUACGUGGCAUAAACAUUAAGGUUAAGUCUGUAGUUCAAAUAUUUUUAGACAUCAAAAAUUUUGUCACACAUUCACAGAAUAUAAAAAAAAUAUUGAACAGAAGCUUCAUAAUAUCCAAGAGACAGCAUCUGGAGCACAAUCAAAAAAAAAAUUUGUUUGUUUGUGCUAAAGUAUUACUGUAAACUCAUUUACAGUAUUUUUGUCUUAUCUUUCAGGAAUACAAGAAACGACUAGAUAAAGUGACUGAAGUCCGAGGAGAAUUGGAAUCUCACAUAAAAAAUUUACCUGAUUUUGAUCUUUUACCUCGUUUAACUGGUGGUCUUGCACCAUUGCCUUCAGCUGGCGACCUCUUUAACAUGCAAGAUGGUAGACAUUGACACAGUAUUGGGUAUGGUUAUUUUUUAUGCUCCUGCUGUAGCAUAGAGGGCAUUAAGUUUUACCCUUGUCUGUUUUUUGUUUCCAUUCACCAACUUAAGUUUGCCUCAACCAAAUGCUAUAAAACUUAUACACAAUAUAUACUUAUUACCACAAAAAGGAGAUCAAGAACAAAUUUAGAUAACUUCACUUUUGCUGUUCAUCAGUUAUAUCCCUUUAUGACUUUAUUUAAAAUGCAAGCCGGGGCAUUAUCUGUGUGCCAUGGACACAUUCCCCAUUUUUUAAUUUUAUUUAGUAGCACGUAGAUUGAGUUUAUAUGAAAUUGAUCAUUCAAGUUGAAAUACCAGUGUAUGAUGUAUGACCAGCACUUGAAAUUUAUUAUAACAAAUAUAAUUUACAGUGAAAAUGGGUAUCCUAUAAAAGGCAACAAUAUCAAGAGCACUUCAAAACUCAUAAGUCAUAAGAAAAACUGACAAAACCAUGGUGAAAAAUUAAAAACUACAAAAAUACCAACAGUUAACAACACUCUGCAUAGACAACUAUAUAUUGAGAACAUUACUUCUAAAGAUGUGCUGAUAUAAACAAAAAAUAUGUAUCUUUGGGACACAAGAGGAAACAAAUAGACAAUGUGCCAUGCAUUAACGAGAAAUUAACAAAUAUAAUGUUAUUUGUCUUUUUGUAGGUUUGGAUAAAAAUGGCUCAGUAUAUAAUGAAGGCAUUCCUGUUAGAACAGACGAAGUGACUAGUCAGUAAAUGUGCAGAUAUUGUCUUAUUCCAUCAUCACCCUUCAUCUAUCACCACGAUGAGUGCUCUUAUUUAUAUGUUGGAAAUGAAUGGUCAUCUUUGUGCUGGAACUAGUAGUGCUGUGUUAUACUUAAAAAUGUUGUUACCACAAAUUAUUUCUGUAAUUACUUCAGAUUGUAUAAAUCUUACUGGCUUACUUGGGUUAUGAUGACAUGUCAGUAUUUGUAAUUAUUUGAAGUCAUCUGUCAACCAUUAUUUAAAAAAAAUGCUUUGAAAGUACUGGACCAUUUUGGACUUUAUUGUAUGAUCCUUAUAGCAUUUUUAUGUUGUGACUGGAGAGGGCAUUAAAUGUUAUCCUUUCCAUCCAUACAAAAGUACUUCACAAAAAUUUUGGUGGUGUCACUAUUACUGUUAAAGAGGUAUGCCCCUUUAUGUAGGGAAAAUUGCUGAAAAAUUUCAUUUCCAUUCUCUUACUUUAGUUUGACUUAACCAAAUACUAUGAAUCCAAUAAACAAUGCUUACUAUGAAGAAAUAUAGAUUAAGUUCAAAUUUGGGUGGCUUUACUUUUAUUAUUCUCUAUUUAUUGAUUUAAAAAAACCUUCAAAAAGACUGCUUGUCAGUUGAGUGCUUAAUGUGUUAACAUGAACACACAAUUUUCCCUCAAAUGCUAUAAAUGUUAUGUUAUGAAGAAUUAUUUUUUUAACUAAUUUAGUUUCAUUUUGGGCAUUUUAAUCUGAGUCUGACAGUUACCAAAUGUUUGUCUCUUCAUUUGGUCACCCAAUCCCAAAGUUCAUUAAAUUGAAAGAAAGAUGGAUGUUUUUUACUCGGAUGAUAGUGGACAUUUUCACUAAAACUAUAUUAUAUUAAGAUUACCCUAUAGGCAUUGGCUGCACUGCAUAAUAACUGCCUCCAGCCCUGGUCAAUAGUAUGUAUGGAUAAAAGAUGGGAUUACAAGCUACUUAAGUUUCUAAUUUGGAUGUUUUUGUCAAUUUUAGAAGAAAAACAAAUCAAACUUUCUUAAAAUUGCAUAUAGCACAAGUACACAAUAUAUUCAGUUGUAGAAUAGUCAACUUUGGGAUUUAUCUGGUUUGUUGUGGAUUUUUCCAUUAUAAAAAGUACUUUAAUUAAAGGGCAAAAUAUUAAGGGUCUUUUUUUUCCCAGAGUUAGAUUUUUAUUAAAGUUUAACUAACACAGAGAUUUUCAAAUAUAAUUUUAGAGUAUUUUGAUUAUAAUGAAGACACAUUGACAGCACUUAUAUUCUUGCACAUUUAGAUUUAGAAUAUAACAAAACACCUAGAAAAUGUGGUUGUAUUUGUUUAUAUAUAAUUCAUUAUACAACAAAGUGUAAAUUCUUAGAUUACAUUGAUACUGGUGAAAUGUUUUAAUAACUGUGGAUUCAUUUAGUUUCAUGAGUACCAAUUUAAGAGGAUUGAGGAAAAUUGUAUUUCCAUGAAUAUUUGAUUUUGUAGUUUUGCCGAAGUCAGCAUAUAAGACAAAAGAAAUUUGUACUUGGUUGAACAAUUAAAAUUCUGCUCUACCAAUAUCAAGUUGAUCCUUGAAUUGAUACCGCAUAAAUAAUAAUGAAUCCACAGUUAACCAUAAUGCCUUGUAGUAUGAAAGUUGAAGACAGAAUGGCAGUAUAUUUUUAUGAGAGAGAAGAAUGUUUGUUUUUUUAUUUUGUUAGUUUUACAAGAAAACAUGUAUUUGUUAUUACAUGAAUGAGGUGUAGAGAUUUCUAUGCAUCCUUUAUUACAUGAAUGAGGUGUAGAGAUUUCUAUGCAUCCUUUAUUAUCAAUGAGGUGUAGAGAUUUCUAUGCAUCCUUUUAUAUUUUGUUGUUUGUAUUGUUCUAUCCUUAGUUUGAAAAAAUUGCAUAUUUUUCAUAAAUCAUUUCAUUCAUGAUCGACAUAUAUUUGUAAAAUAGUCAAUCUAUGUAACAAAAGAUAAACUUGUUUACCUAAACAAUUUAGUAUGUUAUACUAUUAUUGAACACAUUUGCAAAAAAUUGUUUCAUUAAAUAUGAAAUUUGGAUUUUUAUAUAACUCAUUCAUGGUUGUUAAUAAUUCGUCCUUGUUAAAAUCAAGUUCUGAACGCAAGGAUUGUUGUCUACAAGAGAUAUCAUUGAUAUUGUCAAACAAUGGAGAAGAAAUAAUGUCAUAAAUAGAAGAAAAAAAAUGUACAUAUGACAGCGGAGGAUCCAGAAGUUUUCAUAAAGGGGGGCACUGACUGAUCUAAGGGAGGCCAGCUCCAGUUAUGUUUCUGUGAUUCCCUAUAUAACUAACCAAGUUUUCCCCACAAAAGGGGGAGGCCCAUCCCCCCUGGAUCCUCCUAUGAAUGAUUUGAAGCCUUAAGUUUGUUUGGUUAUGCAUAAGGAAACUUCUAAAAGAGGGACAAAAGAUACCAGAUUGUAAUUGUGAGUACCUAUAUAUAGAAUUUUCAACCUCAGAAUGUUACCAUGAAACUUUUGUGUAUUAAUAUGUUUUACCAUUUAUACUGAUUAUCAGUAUUUUUCAGUUUGUUAAGAAGAAAAAAAAAGAUUUUUGCGUCAUUAAGUCAUGUUGUUAAUUCUUUUACUUAUAUUUUUAUUGCUUUGGCUCAUUGCAAAAAAAGUGUAUUCUGUAACAUUUUUAUU
rnacentral:sRNA from 1 species